UAAAUACUCCCUAGUGACCGAUAGUGAACCAGUACCGUGAGGGAAAGGUGAAAAGCACCCCGGAAGGGGAGUGAAACAGUUCCUGAAACCGUGUGCCUACAAGUAGUUAGAGCCCGUUAAUGGGUGAUAGCGUGCCUUUUGUAGAAUGAACCGGCGAGUUACGAUUUGUUGCAAGGUUAAGCGGAAAAAGCGGAGCCGUAGCGAAAGCGAGUCUGAAUAGGGCGCAUAAGUAACAGGUCGUAGACCCGAAACCAGGUGAUCUACCCAUGUCCAGGAUGAAGGUAAGGUAAUACUUACUGGAGGUCCGAACCCACGCACGUUGAAAAGUGCGGGGAUGAGGUGUGGGUAGCGGAGAAAUUCCAAUCGAACUUGGAGAUAGCUGGUUCUCUCCGAAAUAGCUUUAGGGCUAGCCUCGAGGUAAAGAGUCAUGGAGGUAGAGCACUGUUUGGACUAGGGGCCCUUCUCGGGUUACCGAAUUCAGAUAAACUCCGAAUGCCAUGUACUUAUACUCGGGAGUCAGACUGCGAGUGAUAAGAUCCGUAGUCGAAAGGGAAACAGCCCAGACCACCAGUUAAGGUCCCCAAAUAUAUGUUAAGUGGAAAAGGAUGUGGGGUUGCUUAGACAACCAGGAUGUUGGCUUAGAAGCAGCCACCAUUGAAAGAGUGCGUAAUAGCUCACUGGUCGAGUG
rnacentral:rRNA from 1 species